rnacentral:tRNA from 1 species
GACGAGGUGACCGAGCGGUUAAGGUGAUGGACUGCUAAUCCAUUGUGCAUUGCACGCAUGUGUUCGAAUCCCAUUCUCGUCG